rnacentral:lncRNA from 1 species
GAGCACAGAAGGCCGAGACCAGAGAGCCGAGCACAGAAGGCCGAGACCAGAAGGCCGAGACCCGAAGGCCGAGCACAGAAGGCCGAGCACAGCAGGCCGAGACCAGAAGGCCGAGACCCGAAGGCCAAGCACAGCAGGCCGAGCACAGAAGGCUAAGACCAGCAGGACGAGACCAGAAGGCUGAGCUGAUAUCAGAAGGCCGACCUCGUCGUUUAUAUGCUGCGGCCAUGCCCUGCAGCAGCCUCACCGCACCAUGCUUUACUUGCCGGCCACGCCAUGACAUAUCAAUCAAGGACCAUACCCUGCUACGACUGUCAACGCCUCACCAUUCCCAAGAAUGUACUGCACUGCGCGCCACAAGCAAGCUCUGGCU